rnacentral:rRNA from 1 species
UACCAGCACCCCGAGUGGUCGGGACGUUUAUUGGGCCUAAAGCAUCCGUAGCCGGUUCUACAAGUCUUCCGUUAAAUCCAACUGCUUAACAGGUGGGCUGCGGAAGAUACUAUAGAGCUAGGAGGCGGGAGAGGCAAGCGGUACUCGAUGGGUAGGGGUAAAAUCCGUUGAUCCAUUGAAGACCACCAGUGGCGAAGGCGGCUUGCCAGAACGCGCUCGACGGUGAGGGAGUGAAAGCUGGGGGAGCAAACCGG